GGUAGUUCAGUUGGUUAGAAUACCGGCCUGUCACGCCGGGGGUCGCGGGUUCGAGCCCCGUCCA
rnacentral:tRNA from 1 species